rnacentral:rRNA from 1 species
AACGAACGCUGGCGGCAGGCUUAACACAUGCAAGUCGAACGGCAGCGCGGGGCAACCUGGCGGCGAGUGGCGAACGGGUGAGUAAUAUAUCGGAACAUACCCUAGAGUGGGGGAUAACGUAGCGAAAGUUACGCUAAUACCGCAUACGCACUAAGGUGGAAAGUGGGGGAUCUUCGGACCUCAUGCUCAUGGAGUGGCCGAUAUCUGAUUAGCUAGUUGGUGAGGUAAAGGCUCACCAAGGCGACGAUCCUUAGCUGGUCUGAGAGGAUGAUCAGCCACACUGGGACUGAGACACGGCCCAGACUCCUACGGGAGGCAGCAGUGGGGAAUAUUGGACAAUGGGCGAAAGCCUGAUCCAGCAAUGCCGCGUGAGUGAUGAAGGCCUUAGGGUUGUAAAGCUCUUUUACCCGGGAUGAUAAUGACAGUACCGGGAGAAUAAGCCCCGGCUAACUCCGUGCCAGCAGCCGCGGUAAU